UGGGGAAUAUUGGGCAAUGGGGCGAAAGCCUGACCCAGCAACGCCGCGUGGAGGAAGAAGGUUUUCGGAUCGUAAAGUUCUAUCAGCAGGGAAGAUAAUGACGGUACCUGACUAAGAAGCACCGGCUAAAUACGUGCCAGCAGCCGCGGUAAUACGUAUGGUGCAAGCGUUAUCCGGAUUUACUGGGUGUAAAGGGAGCGCAGGCGGUGCGGCAAGUCUGAUGUGAAAGCCCGGGGCUCAACCCCGGUACUGCAUUGGAAACUGUCGUACUAGAGUGUCGGAGGGGUAAGUGGAAUUCCUAGUGUAGCGGUGAAAUGCGUAGAUAUUAGGAGGAACACCAGUGGCGAAGGCGGCUUACUGGACGAUAACUGACGCUGAGGCUCGAAAGCGUGGGGAGC
rnacentral:rRNA from 1 species